rnacentral:rRNA from 1 species
UACGGAGGGUGCAAGCGUUAUCCGGAUUUACUGGGUUUAAAGGGUGUGUAGGCGGGCAUUUAAGUCAGCGGUGAAAUCUCCGGGCUCAACCUGGAAACUGCCAUUGAUACUAUUUGUCUUGAAUUUUGUUGAGGUUGGCGGAAUAUGUCAUGUAGCGGUGAAAUGCAUAGAUAUGACAUAGAACUCCGAUUGCGAAGGCAGCUCACUACACAAUUAUUGACUCUGAGGCACGAAAGCGUGGGGAUCAAACAGG